rnacentral:rRNA from 1 species
GACGAACGCUGGCGGCGUGCCUAAUACAUGCAAGUUGAGCGCUGAAGGUUGGUACUUGUACCAACUGGAUGAGCAGCGAACGGGUGAGUAACGCGUGGGGAAUCUGCCUUUGAGCGGGGGACAACAUUUGGAAACGAAUGCUAAUACCGCAUAAAAACUUUAAACACAAGUUUUAAGUUUGAAAGAUGCAAUUGCAUCACUCAAAGAUGAUCCCGCGUUGUAUUAGCUAGUUGGUGAGGUAAAGGCUCACCAAGGCGAUGAUACAUAGCCGACCUGAGAGGGUGAUCGGCCACAUUGGGACUGCGACACGGCCCAAACGCCUACGGGAGGCAGCAGUAGGGAAUCUUCGGCAAUGGACGAAAGUCUGACCGAGCAACGCCGCGUGAGUGAAGAAGGUUUUCGGAUCGUAAAACUCUGUUGGUAGAGAAGAACGUUGGUGAGAGUGGAAAGCUCAUCAAGUGACGGUAACUACCCAGAAAGGGACGGCUAACUACGUG